rnacentral:rRNA from 1 species
GUGGGGAAUAUUGCACAAUGGGGGGAACCCUGAUGCAGCAACGCCGCGUGGAGGAUGACACAUUUCGGUGCGUAAACUCCUUUUAUAUGAGAAGAUAAUGACGGUAUCAUAUGAAUAAGCUCCGGCUAACUCCGUGCCAGCAGCCGCGGUAAUACGGGGGGAGCAAGCGUUACUCGGAAUCACUGGGCGUAAAGCGCAUGUAGGCUGGUAAUUAAGUUGGAAGUGAAAUCCUAUGGCUUAACCAUAGAACUGCUUCCAAAACUGAUUACCUAGAAUAUGGGAGAGGUAGAUGGAAUUUCUGGUGUAGGGGUAAAAUCCGUAGAGAUCAGAAGGAAUACCGAUUGCGAAGGCGAUCUACUGGAACAUUAUUGACGCUGAGAUGCGAAAGCGUGGGGAGCAAACAGGAUUAGAUACCCUGGUAGUCCACGCCCUAAACGAUGUACACUAGUUGUUGCUAUACUAGAUAUAGCAGUAAUGCAGUUAACACAUUAAGUGUACCGCCUGGG